rnacentral:rRNA from 1 species
UACGUAGGGUGCAAGCGUUGUCCGGAAUUAUUGGGCGUAAAGAGCUUGUAGGCGGUUUGUCGCGUCUGCUGUGAAAAUCCGGGGGCUCAACCCCGGACUUGCAGUGGGUACGGGCAGACUAGAGUGUGGUAGGGGAGACUGGAAUUCCUGGUGUAGCGGUGAAAUGCGCAGAUAUCAGGAGGAACACCGAUGGCGAAGGCAGGUCUCUGGGCCACUACUGACGCUGAGAAGCGAAAGCAUGGGGAGGCGAACAGGAUUAGAUACCCGU